CUAGCUGGUGGUUUCACAACAUGUUGGGGGGGCCUGGGCGGGCCUUGGUGUUUGCAGCGGCUGAUUUGUCAGUUGCUGAAUGAAGCGCCUGCAGGCCGCCUCCGAGCGUUGCCACAUCACUGUUCUUUAUUGGGUUUUCAAGAAUGAGGAAAUGCAUGAGGCAGCAUCUUUACGGGAAAUCGGGGAGGGGGGGUGUGGGAAGGCACGUGGGCGGGGAAGUUAUGACAAAUAUUAGCUAAGGCACGCAGGAAGAGCAGGAUGGGGCGAAAGUGAAGAGCAAAAAGGUGGAAACGUUUAGUUGCGUUGUGGGCCGGUUCAUCGCGUUUCCCAUCGCUGCGGUUUGAAAUCCUUCCUCCUCUCACCUCCUGUUGUUCCUACUUGCAAGCUUUUAUUGUGAAAGAUGCAUUUUAGGGCCAAACGGGUUUUGCUGUGUUUGCUUUCUCACGUGCUGACAGAGCAGGCUGACCUUUCAGCCUGCAGGACGUGGCAGCUCCGCAUGUGAGUCAGGCCCAGAGGAAUGCAGCACUCCCACAGUUUCUCCUGGAGACCCUGCAAAGGUUCUCAUGGAGCGACGGACGGAUACCAGAAGCUCUGAGGAGAACAGUCCUCUUCAGUAAAAAAAAAUAAUAAAAAAUAUAUUACUGUUUUAGUCAUUUUUAGCCGUUUCUGUUCAAAAGUCCUGCCAAACAGUUCAAUAUAGCUGAUUGUAAACUCAAAGAAAUGCAGAAAACUGAUAGUCUCUUCACACCUUCUGUACUUCCCUUUUUGAUCUAAGUGGAUUCUAUCUUCACUUUGUAAAAGAUUCGUCCUCUACACACACCGUAGCACAAUCAGUUGUGGUGAUCCUCAGGGCCCUAUGCUAGGACCACUUCAUUUCAUUUUAAAUCUGCAGGUAUUUUGUGUUAUGCUGAUGAUUCUCCUCCAUACUUUUGAUUUGAAGUCCCACUCUGAUCAUAUUUUGUUCUUUUUGAAAAGAUCAAGAGUGUGUCAUUUCAAACCAACCCCCACCCCCCCAGAAAAAAAAUGUUUGUUUUCUAGGACAUAAUUUCUGCAGAACAAGAGUUCAUGGGACCAUGGGUGUGAAGCAACCCCACCCCUCUUCCCCUCUACAUUACUCUUACACACUCUCCUGCUACCUCACACCUCCAACCUAACAUUAUUGGUGCAACAAAAAUGGCAACAAGCAUAAAUUCUCAGAAAUGCUAUUUUUAGCUUAGUUUUCAUAAUAUGUAUCCUCCACCAUCAGAACAAUUCUACAAGAGCAUGUAAAAAAAA